GAUGAACGCUGGCGGCGUGCCUAAUACAUGCAAGUCGAGCGAACGGACUAGAAGCUUGCUUCUCUGGUGUUAGCGGCGGACGGGUGAGUAACACGUGGAUAACCUACCUAUAAGACUGGGAUAACUUCGGGAAACCGUAGCUAAUACCGGAUAAUAUUUUGAACCGCAUGGUUCAAAAGUGAAAGACGGUCUUGCUGUCACUUAUAGAUGGAUCCGCGCUGCAUUAGCUAGUUGGUAAGGUAACGGCUUACCAAGGCAACGAUGCAUAGCCGACCUGAGAGGGUGAUCGGCCACACUGGAACUGAGACACGGUCCAGACUCCUACGGGAGGCAGCAGUAGGGAAUCUUCCGCAAUGGGCGAAAGCCUGACGGAGCAACGCCGCGUGAGUGAUGAAGGUCUUCGGAUCGUAAAACUCUGUUAUUAGGGAAGAACAUAUGUGUAAGUAACUGUGCACAUCUUGACGGUACCUAAUCAGAAAGCCACGGCUAACUACGUG
rnacentral:rRNA from 1 species